CGCGCACCGAGUCGCACCCCACCCCUCUCGCUUAAUCGCUUAAUCGCUUAGCAGCGACAGGCGACGGGGAGCGGAGAAUGGCCCCCCGUGCCCCCGUGCGCGGCCGGCCCAAACACAGGCCCCGGGAGGCCGACGUCACGAUCCGUGGUGGUUGUAAAAGACACGCCCUUGAAAUCGGAUCCUGUGCACGUCGCGCCGCACCCAGGACCACAGCGACCCCCGAGGCCGUCCUUGGACGGCACCCACUCU
rnacentral:rRNA from 2 species